CAGCAGCCGCGGUAAUACGAGGGGUGCAAGCGUUAUUCGGAUUGAUUGGGUGUAAAGGGUGUGCAGACGGCUUAUUAAGUCACUUGUUAAAUUCUUCGGCCUAACUGAAGGUCUGCAAGUGAUACUGAUGAGCUAGAGGGUGGAAGAGAGAAGUGGAAUUCUCGGAGUAGCGGUAAAAUGCGUAGAUCUCGAGAGGAACACCAAUGGUGAAGGCAGCUUCUUGAUCCAUUCCUGACGUUCAUACACGAAAGCGUGGGGAGCAAACAGGAUUAGAUACCCCAGUAGUCCCUGUCUCUUAUAC
rnacentral:rRNA from 1 species